rnacentral:rRNA from 1 species
GCCUCGCAAGAGGAGCCUGGAGACAGGUGCUGCAUGGCUGUCGUCAGCUCGUGUCGUGAGAUGUUGGGUUAAGUCCCGCAACGAGCGCAACCCUUGUCCUUAGUUGCCAUCAUUUAGUUGGGCACUCUAAGGAGACUGCCGGUGUUAAACCGGAGGAAGGUGGGGAUGACGUCAAGUCCUCAUGGCCCUUAUGUCCAGGGCUACACACGUGCUACAAUGGCCGGUACAAAGGGCAGCUACUUGGUGACAAGAUGCUAAUCUCCAAAACCGGUCUCAGUUCGGAUCGAAGUCUGCAACUCGACUUCGUGAAGCUGGAUUCGCUAGUAAUCGCGCAUCAGCCAUGGCGCGGUGAAUACGUUCCCGGGCCUU